UAGCUUAGUUGGUAGUGCGUCUGCCUUGUAAGCGCUAGGCUGCGGGUUCGAUUCCCGC
rfam:Asian citrus Psyllid, Diaphorina citri - Florida Strain, whole genome shotgun sequence.